rnacentral:rRNA from 1 species
AUUGAACGCUGUUGGCAGGCUUAACACAUGCAAGUCGAACGAUGAUUAUCUAGCUUGCUAGAUAUGAUUAGUGGCGGACGGGUGAGUAACAUUUAGGAAUCUGCCUAGUAGUGGGGGAUAGCUCGGGGAAACUCGAAUUAAUACCGCAUACGACCUACGGGUGAAAGGGGGCGCAAGCUCUUGCUAUUAGAUGAGCCUAAAUCAGAUUAGCUAGUUGGUGGGGUAAAGGCCCACCAAGGCGACGAUCUGUAACUGGUCUGAGAGGAUGAUCAGUCACACCGGAACUGAGACACGGUCCGGACUCCUACGGGAGGCAGCAGUGGGGAAUAUUGGACAAUGGGGGCAACCCUGAUCCAGCCAUGCCGCGUGUGUGAAGAAGGCCUUUUGGUUGUAAAGCACUUUAAGCAGGGAGGAGAGGCUAAUGGUUAAUACCCAUUAGAUUAGACGUUACCUGCAGAAUAAGCACCGGCUAACUCUGUGCCAGCAGCCGCGGUAAUACAGAGGGUGCGAGCGUUAAUCGGAAUUACUGGGCGUAAAGCGAGUGUAGGUGGCUCAUUAAGUCACAUGUGAAAUCCCCGGGCUUAACCUGGGAACUGCAUGUGAUACUGGUGGUGCUAGAAUAUGUGAGAGGGAAGUAGAAUUCCAGGUGUAGCGGUGAAAUGCGUAGAGAUCUGGAGGAAUACCGAUGGCGAAGGCAGCUUCCUGGCAUAAUAUUGACACUGAGAUUCGAAAGCGUGGGUAGCAAACAGGAUUAGAUACCCUGGUAGUCCACGCCGUAAACGAUGUCUACUAGCCGUUGGGGUCCUUGAGACUUUAGUGGCGCAGUUAACGCGAUAAGUAGACCGCCUGGGGAGUACGGCCGCAAGGUUAAAACUCAAAUGAAUUGACGGGGGCCCGCACAAGCGGUGGAGCAUGUGGUUUAAUUCGAUGCAACGCGAAGAACCUUACCUGGUCUUGACAUAGUGAGAAUCCUGCAGAGAUGCGGGAGUGCCUUCGGGAAUUCACAUACAGGUGCUGCAUGGCUGUCGUCAGCUCGUGUCGUGAGAUGUUGGGUUAAGUCCCGCAACGAGCGCAACCCUUUUCCUUAUUUGCCAGCGGGUUAAGCCGGGAACUUUAAGGAUACUGCCAGUGACAAACUGGAGGAAGGCGGGGACGACGUCAAGUCAUCAUGGCCCUUACGACCAGGGCUACACACGUGCUACAAUGGUAGGUACAGAGGGUUGCUACACAGCGAUGUGAUGCUAAUCUCAAAAAGCCUAUCGUAGUCCGGAUUGGAGUCUGCAACUCGACUCCAUGAAGUCGGAAUCGCUAGUAAUCGCAGAUCAGAAUGCUGCGGUGAAUACGUUCCCGGGCCU